rnacentral:pre_miRNA from 8 species
UUUGGGGUUGAAAACGGGCCUGCUUUUCUUCGUGUUCACAGCGGACCUUGAUUUAAAUGUCCAUACAAUUAAGGCACGCGGUGAAUGCCAAGAGAGAUGGCAAAUAUCAUCGACGAGUGU